AACGAACGCUGGCGGCAUGCCUAACACAUGCAAGUCGAACGAGACCUUCGGGUCUAGUGGCGCACGGGUGCGUAACGCGUGGGAACCUGCCCUUAGGUUCGGAAUAACUCCCCGAAAGGGGUGCUAAUACCGGAUAAUGUCUUCGGACCAAAGAUUUAUCGCCUUUGGAUGGGCCCGCGUUGGAUUAGCUAGUUGGUAGGGUAAAAGCCUACCAAGGCGACGAUCCAUAGCUGGUCUGAGAGGCUGAUCAGCCACACUGAGACUGAGACACGGCCCAGACUCCUACGGGAGGCAGCAGUGGGGAAUAUUGGACAAUGGGCGGAAGCCUGAUCCAGCAAUGCCGCGUGAGUGAUGAAGGCCUUAGGGUUGUAAAGCUCUUUUACCCGGGAUGAUAAUGACAGUACCGGGAGAAUAAGCUCCGGCUAACUCCGUG
rnacentral:rRNA from 1 species